CAAGCUUUUAAGAGCAGAUGGCGGAUGCCUUGCCAAAGAGAGGCGAUGAAGGACGUACUAGACUGCGAUAAGCUAUGCGGAGCUGUCAAGGAGCUUUGAUGCGUAGAUGUCCGAAUGGGGCAACCCAACUAAUAGAGAUAUUAGUUACUCUAAUUAUAGAGGGCGAACCUAGUGAAGUGAAACAUCUCAGUAACUAGAGGAAAAGAAAUCAACGAGAUUCCCUAAGUAGUGGCGAGCGAACGGGGAAAAGGGCAAACCGAGUGCUUGCAUUCGGGGUUGAGGACUGCAACAUCCAAGAGAACGCUUUAGCAGAGUUACCUGGAAAGGUAAGCCAUAGAAAGUGAUAGCCUUGUAUGCGACAAGGCGUUCUUAGGUAGCAGUAUCCAGAGUAGGCCAGGACACGAGAAAUCCAGGUUGAAGCCGGGGAGACCACUCUCCAACCCUAAAUACUACUCUUUGAGCGAUAGCGAACAAGUACCGUGAGGGAAAGGUGAAAAGAACCGCAGUGAGCGGAGUGAAAUAGAACCUGAAACCAUCUGCUUACAAUCAUUCAGAGCCCUAUGAUUUAUCAGGGUGAUGGACUGCCUUUUGCAUAAUGAUCCUGCGAGUUGUGGUAUCUGGCAAGGUUAAGCGAAUGCGAAGCCGUAGCGAAAGCGAGUCUUAAUAGGGCGCUUGAGUCAGAUGCUGCAGACCCGAAGCUAAGUGAUCUAUCCAUGGCCAAGUUGAAACGCGUGUAAUAGCGCGUGGAGGACUGAACUCGUACCCAUUGAAACGGGUUGGGAUGAGCUGUGGAUAGGGGUGAAAGGCCAAACAAACUUAGUGAUAGCUGGUUCUCUUCGAAAUAUAUUUAGGUAUAGCCUCAAGUGAUAAUAAAAGGGGGUAGAGCACUGAUUGGGCUAGGGCUGCUCGCCGCGGUACCAAACCCUAUCAAACUUCGAAUACCUUUUAUCGUAUCUUGGGAGUCAGGCGGUGGGUGAUAAAAUCAAUCGUCAAAAGGGGAACAACCCAGACUACCAAAUAAGGUCCCUAAGUUCUAUUCUGAGUGGAAAAAGAUGUGUGGCUACUCAAACAACCAGGAGGUUGGCUUAGAAGCAGCCAUCCUUUAAAGAAAGCGUAACAGCUCACUGGUCUAGUGGUCAUGCGCUGAAAAUAUAACGGGGCUAAGAUAGACACCGAAUUUGUAGAUUGUGUUAAACACAGUGGUAGAAGAGCGUUCAUACCAGCGUUGAAGGUAUACCGGUAAGGAGUGCUGGAGCGGUAUGAAGUGAGCAUGCAGGAAUGAGUAACGAUAAGAUAUAUGAGAAUUGUAUCCGCCGUAAAUCUAAGGUUUCCUACGCGAUGGUCGUCAUCGUAGGGUUAGUCGGGUCCUAAGCCGAGUCCGAAAGGGGUAGGUGAUGGCAAAUUGGUCAAUAUUCCAAUACCGACUUAUGGAGCGUGAUGGGGGGACGCAUAGGGUUAAGCGAGCUAGCUGAUGGAAGCGCUAGUCUAAGGGCGUAGAUUGGAGGGAAGGCAAAUCCACCUCUGUAUUUGAAACCCAAACAGGCUCUUUGAGUCCUUUCAGGACAAAGGGAGAAUCGCUGAUACCGUCGUGCCAAGAAAAGCCUCUAAGCAUAUCCAUAGUCGUCCGCACCGCAAACCGACACAGGUAGAUGAGAUGAGUAUUCUAAGGCGCGUGAAAGAACUCUGGUUAAGGAACUCUGCAAACUAGCACCGUAAGUUCGCGAUAAGGUGUGCCACAGCGAUGUGGUCUCAGCAAAGAGUCCCUCCCGACUGUUUACCAAAAACACAGCACUUUGCCAACUCGUAAGAGGAAGUAUAAGGUGUGACGCCUGCCCGGUGCUCGAAGGUUAAGAGGAUGCGUCAGUCGCAAAAGAUGAAGCGUUGAAUUGAAGCCCGAGUAAACGGCGGCCGUAACUAUAACGGUCCUAAGGUAGCGAAAUUCCUUGUCGGUUAAAUACCGACCUGCAUGAAUGGCGUAACGAGAUGGGAGCUGUCUCAACCAGAGAUUCAGUGAAAUUGUAGUGGAGGUGAAAAUUCCUCCUACCCGCGGCAAGACGGAAAGACCCCGUGGACCCUUACUACAACUUAGCACUGCUAAUGGGAAUAUCAUGCGCAGGAUAGGUGGGAGGCUUUGAAGUAAGGGCUUUGGCUCCUAUGGAGCCAUCCUUGAGAUACCACCCUUGAUGUUUCUGUUAGCUAACUGGCCUGUGUUAUCCACAGGCAGGACAAUGCUUGGUGGGUAGUUUGACUGGGGCGGUCGCCUCCUAAAAAGUAACGGAGGCUUGCAAAGGUUGGCUCAUUGCGGUUGGAAAUCGCAAGUUGAGUGUAAUGGCACAAGCCAGCCUGACUGUAAGACAUACAAGUCAAGCAGAGACGAAAGUCGGUCAUAGUGAUCCGGUGGUUCUGUGUGGAAGGGCCAUCGCUCAAAGGAUAAAAGGUACCCCGGGGAUAACAGGCUGAUCUCCCCCAAGAGCUCACAUCGACGGGGAGGUUUGGCACCUCGAUGUCGGCUCAUCGCAUCCUGGGGCUGGAGCAGGUCCCAAGGGUAUGGCUGUUCGCCAUUUAAAGCGGUACGCGAGCUGGGUUCAGAACGUCGUGAGACAGUUCGGUCCCUAUCUGCCGUGGGCGUAGGAAAGUUGAGGAGAGCUGUCCCUAGUACGAGAGGACCGGGAUGGACGUGUCACUGGUGCACCAGUUGUUCUGCCAAGAGCAAUCGCUGGGUAGCUACACACGGAUGUGAUAACUGCUGAAAGCAUCUAAGCAGGAAGCCAACUCCAAGAUAAACUUUCCCUGAAGCUCGCACAAAGACUAUGUGCUUGAUAGGGUAGAUGUGUAAGCGUAGUAAUGCGUUUAGCUGACUACUACUAAUAGAGCGUUUGGCUUGUUUU
rnacentral:rRNA from 1 species